GACGAACGCUGGCGGCGUGCUUAACACAUGCAAGUCGAACGGAGAGGCCCUGCUUUUGUGGGGUGCUCGAGUGGCGAACGGGUGAGUAACACGUGAGUAACCUGCCCUUGACUUUGGGAUAACUUCAGGAAACUGGGGCUAAUACCGGAUAGGAGCUCCUGCUGCAUGGUGGGGGUUGGAAAGUUUCGGCGGUUGGGGAUGGACUCGCGGCUUAUCAGCUUGUUGGUGGGGUAGUGGCUUACCAAGGCUUUGACGGGUAGCCGGCCUGAGAGGGUGACCGGCCACAUUGGGACUGAGAUGCGGCCCAGACUCCUACGGGAGGCAGCAGUGGGGAAUAUUGCGCAAUGGGCGGAAGCCUGAUGCAGCAACGCCGCGUGCGGGAUGACGGCCUUCGGGUUGUAAACCGCUUUCGCCUGUGACGAAGCGUGAGUGACGGUAAUGGGUAAAGAAGCACCGGCUAACUACGUG
rnacentral:rRNA from 1 species